UGGGGAAUCUUCCGCAAUGGACGAAAGUCUGACGGAGCAACGCCGCGUGUAUGAUGAAGGUCUUCGGAUUGUAAAGUACUGUCAUUGGGGAAGAACGGUUUUCUUGAGAAUAUUGAGAAGACAUGACGGUACCCAAGGAGGAAGCCCCGGCUAACUACGUGCCAGCAGCCGCGGUAAUACGUAGGGGGCAAGCGUUGUCCGGAAUUAUUGGGCGUAAAGGGCGCGUAGGCGGGCCUUUAAGUCCGGUGUGAAAGAUCAGGGCUCAACCCUGAGAGUGCAUCGGAAACUGGAGGCCUUGAGGACAGGAGAGGAAAGUGGAAUUCCACGUGUAGCGGUGAAAUGCGUAGAUAUGUGGAGGAACACCAGUGGCGAAGGCGACUUUCUGGACUGUAACUGACGCUGAGGCGCGAAAAGCGUGGGGAGCAAACAGGAUUAGAUACCCUGGUAGUCCACGCCGUAAACGAUGAGUGCUAGGUGUAGAGGGUAUCGACCCCUUCUGUGCCGCAGUUAACACAAUAAGCACUCCCGCCUGGGGAGUACGGCCGC
rnacentral:rRNA from 1 species